CAUUACCGUGUUAGAUGCCGGGGGUACCCCCCUCGGCCUGCACACCCUUUGCGUACAUCUCUGGUUGCUUCGGCGGGUCGCAGAUUUGCUGCCGUUGCCCCUUCGAGGGUGAUGCGUACUCGCCGAUAGACUCCAAACUCUGGUUUUUGCAGUGACGUCUGAGCUAUUAUGAAAAAUGAAAUAAAACUUUCAACGAUGGAUCUCUUGGUUCCAGGAUCGAUGAAGAACGCAGCGAAAUGCGAUAAGUAAUGUGAAUUGCAGAAUUCAGUGAAUCAUCGAGUUUUUGAACGCAUAUUGCGCCCCUUGGUAUUCCGAGGGGCACGCCUGUUCGAGCGUCAUUCAGACCAUCAAGCUCCGCUUGGUAUUGGGCCAUGCACUUCUCCUCCGGGGGAGGUGGCGGCCUUGAAGACGUUGGCGGCAUAGCCCGACCCAAAGCGUGACGACCUCACAGCGGAUGGGAAGGGUGAGCCUGCUCAAUCAACCCAAAUUAUUUUUUUCAGGUUGACCUCGGAUCAGGCGGGGAUACCCGCUGAACUUAAGCAUAUCAAUAAGCGGAGGA
rnacentral:rRNA from 1 species